UUCUCCUUCAAAUAACUUAACGAAUCUCUGUAUCUUCUUGUCAAACUCAGUCUCUUCUCCUUCAAACGUUAGGAUUUAAAAAUGGCUUGUGGUGCUAUGUGUCGGUCCCCAAUACGUUUAUUUUGCUGAUACAGUUCCAUUACGUUUAUUUUGCUGAUACAGUUAUAUCAUGUUGUGUAUAGUUUGGUUACGAUCAAAAACUUUUUAUUUACUUUUUAGAAAGGUUUGAUGAAUUUGUGUUACUAGAACUAAGAAAAAAGGACCAUAUAUUAUGUAACGCAAACGUUUUACUCUUUUUACCAUUUGAAAAUUUUCGAUUAAUUGGUGUCAUUUGAGCAUUAGAUAGGUAAAUAAUAGACACGGUCAGAGAAUGGGGUGCACAAAAAUUAUUAAUAGUGUGUAUAGAAUAAUUCUGCAAUUUUCAUUACUAAAGAAGUUUUUCCAUAUUUAAAGAAAACAAAAACAGAUAAUUCAAACUACUUCCUAAAAAGUUGGAAAAUGAGUUACCUGAGAGUCAUGGCAUUUCCAUGAUCCCCUUUAUUUUAGCAAAACUAACAAACUCCAUUUAAUAAAAAUAAAAACAACAAAUAAACUUUAAAUAAAUACCAGUUGAUGCCCCACCAGUGUUGUGGGGCGAUGGCCGAAUAAUGAGUGAGUGUUAGACAACUCAUUGACACGAAAAACAAUUAAAUCGAGUCAAUCAAUUAAAACAAAACACUUUUAUAGUUUUG
rnacentral:lncRNA from 1 species